rnacentral:lncRNA from 1 species
UUAACCUUUCCUUUUUAAUUUCCCAUUACCGCCAAACCCUAAUCAUUUUUCAUCGGUAGCUGCCUUUGAAUUCCCCCUCUCCCAAUUCUCUCUCAAGUUCCUCUCAAACCCUAGCCGCCGCCUUUAAUCACCACUCCAAAUUCAACAAAAUCCAUGGCCUCCAAAGCCAUUGAAGGCCUAUAACUACGUCAUAUGACUCCUACAUGCUCGAUUAUCAUAGUUUCAAGGCCAUACCUUGAAGAAGUUUGGUCCAGACCUUGGUCUAUUUUAGUGUUAUGCUAUCUCCAAUCAUCUUCGACCUUGGUGCGGCCAUCCAUGGCUGUUCAAGUCUAAUAUUGACUCCUCUUUCUAAGAUCAAUGACUUUCCAAGCCAUUCUCACCAUCUAGUGUUUUUCUGAAACCAUAACCUUCAAGGUUCUUCUGAUCCCUUUAGAUCCGUUUUAAAUAUGUGUUUACUCUGAAAUCCUAAACGUUUUCUCAAGGUUUCUUUCAAAGUUUUACCUGUAGAACUUUUAUCUUUUCCGAUUUAGGGGUUUGUCAAGUUAUUUCGAA